rnacentral:misc_RNA from 1 species
AUAACAAUCUGUGACUUCCCAAUGUAUGAGUUACUGGACCAGCACAAACUGAUGAAGCCUGGGAUACUAGACGAUUACCCCAACCUGGCCAAGUUUGUGGAGAGAUUCGAGAACCUCCCAAAAAUCAAGGCCUACAUGGCGUCCGAUAAAUUCAUGGCCGGACCCAUCAACAACAAAGUUGCAGGGUUCAAGUGAUUUUUCACUCACAACGACUAACCUUUGGAUGCAUAGAAUUUUCAUUUUAUGUUCUAAAAAAAAAGUAUUAACUGAUUAAUCAGAUGAUAUGGCGUAAUGCUAUGUAGUAUUGUAUUCAGCAAUUAGUUGUUCACUGGAAACAAUGAUGCAUUGUUGAGUGCUUGUAUUUUAGAAAUAAUGAGUACUAUUUUGAUAAAUGAGAUUGUAGAUUCUAAUAUAUAAACCCUUUCCGAAUUUACUUUUUAUAGAACCUUAUUGACUUAUAGAAAAUUUUUUAGACUUGGUUGUUGAAGGUUAACUUUUUUAAAUUGGUCUUUCACUACCGGUACACUUUUCCUUGCCACCAAAUUGUCUAGAUUCCUUUUACAAAAAUUGUGAACUUUUGGUUUAUAAAAAAUAAGUUAAUAAUGGGCUGUUAGAUAUAUAAGGACAUUGUUGUAACAAAUUUUAACUUAGUUUAAUUAUUGUUUUUUCCAUAGAUUUUGCAAUCUAGUAUUUUAUAUUUUAUUUUAGUGCCAUUUUUUUUAUCGCAUGGUUGUUUUCCUUCAUUAUUUUGACACAAUAUUCUCCUCUCUGUUACAUUUUAGGAUUUUAUUUUCAGGUUUUGAUAUAGGCCAGUCAAAUUUUAUAUCCAGGCCAGUGUUGUUUAGUGCAGAUGUCCGUAAAAUUUAAUACCUAAAUAAUCAAUAAAUUAGUUAAUUUAUU